GGACCCAAUCCAGAUCUGCCACGGAGUGUUAGAGAAGGCUGAAGGGGGAGAUGCGGAGAUCUGGAAAUUUCGAGGUUUUUGGAGACCUCGGCGGUGAUGUGGCAGAGCAGGCGGCGGAUGUAGAAGGGAGCAACGGAGGUGGCAAUGACGGCAGUGGUCGUGUUUAUAGAGGUGAUGUUAUGGUGGGGAUGGCCAUUGGAGACGGUGGUUGAGAUUAGAUCGACGGUGGGUGGUGGUUGUAUUAAUCUAGGGUUUUUUUCCGACGCUAGGAUUUUGGUUGACGGUUAGGGUUUUGUUGAUAGGAGUUGGCGACGGCUGCUAGGGUUUGGCGACGGCCGAGAGUUUGUUUUGCUGCUAGGGUUUGGAAUAAUACGCCGCAGUAAACCAUAGUACACCGUAGUAUGCCAGUAUACACCAGUAUAUCAUAGUAUAUCGUAGUAUAUCAUAGUCUACUAUAGUAUUCACAGCAAAUAAAAUUAAAAAAAUACGUAAAUUAAAUUAAAAAAAAUAAAAAACAUAUUUGUUUGUAAUUUUCAGUAUUAUAUAGAAAAGAAGAAUUUUAUUUGUUUUACAAAUAGUGUAAGAAGUGC
rnacentral:lncRNA from 1 species